CUACGGGAGGCAGCAGUGGGGAAUAUUGGACAAUGGGGGCAACCCUGAUCCAGCAAUGCCGCGUGUGUGAAGAAGGUCUUCGGAUUGUAAAGCACUUUCACUAGGGAAGAUGAUGACGGUACCUAGAGAAGAAGCCCCGGCUAACUUCGUGCCAGCAGCCGCGGUAAUACGAAGGGGGCUAGCGUUGCUCGGAAUGACUGGGCGUAAAGGGCGCGUAGGCUGUUUGUACAGUCAGAUGUGAAAUCCCCGGGCUUAACCUGGGAACUGCAUUUGAUACGUGCAGACUAGAGUCCGAGAGAGGGUUGUGGAAUUCCCAGUGUAGAGGUGAAAUUCGUAGAUAUUGGGAAGAACACCGGUUGCGAAGGCGGCAACCUGGCUCGGAACUGACGCUGAGGCGCGAAAGCGUGGGGAGCGAACAGGAUUAGAUACCCUGGUAGUCCACGCUGUAAACGAUGUGUGCUGGAUGUUGGGUGAUUUUAUCAUUCAGUGUCGGAGCUAACGCGUUAAGCACACCGCCUGGGGAGUACGGCCGCAAGGUUNAAACUCAAAGGAAUUGACNGGGGNCCNCACAAGCGUUG
rnacentral:rRNA from 1 species